rnacentral:lncRNA from 1 species
GGAAAAGAGAAAAGUAGAAAUGAGACUGCUUUUAAUACACACAUGUUGGACUGAUAUACUUUGUGACCUGCUCUAGAAAAUGGUUGUUCUAUUCUCCUUGACCUUUCCACACAUAUUUUUUUUUUCCAGCGGCCUGCUGAAGAUCCAGUUUGCAAAGCUGAAAAUGAAGUCCGGCUCAGAGUCUAACACAGAUACAACACUGGCUGAGAAAAGAGGGAGAUCAUCUUCCUUUACCAUUCUUCCUAGGUUCCCUCCCUCCCAGCCAGGUAAGUAAGAAAAAAAAAUGACAGCAAUAUAUAUUUACACAGCAAAACAUAUAUUACCUAAAAUUAAGAGGUGUACAAGAACUGCCUUCCUACAGAACAAGGACAGAGCUGGAUAUGAUUGGACUAGGC